UAUCUUACUAACAAUUAUCACGUAAGUGUUUAUUUAUGCGAUGCUUUCGAUUUGCCAUUAAAUGUGCAAUACGUAUAAAAGCCGUUCAGUAAAUAGAUAUUGAAUUUGCGAUUGUGUUGAGAACUCCCCGCAAUUCCGAACGGAGACAUUAAGAGAAAGGAACAAUUGCUGCUUUACGAAUUAUAUUUUAUGCGUUCAGUCGAGUUGGGGUGCAGAAAUCACACUGAAGGAACGAAGACCGAAGAUUCCGUCAGGAGGACGUGUUGCAACAAUAUACGACAACUAUAUUACAACGAUGAAAUAUUCUAACUAUGUUAAAUUUAGGUAUCCAGUUCUGUUUGGGGGUUUUCUUAUAUUCGCUGUAACCGCAUUUAGUUACCGACAUUCAUUACUUGGAGAUAUGGAAGAAAGCCGUAUUGUGAUGCGGAAAGAAGAUGAAGCCGGCAAGAAAGCUAUCAGAGAUUUCAUAAGAGAGAAACGAUCUACAUGAUUAAAAGCUGGGAGAGCAAUCAGAGAGUGAAGGUGAUAUAGAAGUAAUAGAAGGCGAUGAUGAUGGACAGCCCACAAUGCAGCUGCUGAACCAUCUGAUCAAAAAUGUGAACUAAUGGGGCAAGAGAAAUGUGUUAAAGCUUUUGAAAAUGUGUUUGUGACCAGUUUUCACAGGACAUUUGUUGCUGGUUUUUUAAAACUGGAAAAAAAAGACUGAAAUGUUUGACUGAAUCUGCUGAAAUGGAGUAAGCGUGUUCCUAAAAGGCUACAGUAGUGGCAAGAUUCAGCUGAGCCACAUUUAUUUUACAGAAAACAAAAGUCAUAGUGCCUAAUAAGCAAUGUUUGAUUAAAUGUAGUGGAAAUUUUUAUGAUGAUAAUUGUGUGUUGCAAUAUAAUGAAGAACAAAAAUUCUGUGUGUUAGUAUUUACUUUCAUAAUU